UGGGGAAUAUUGCACAAUGGACGCAAGUCUGAUGCAGCCAUACCGCGUGUGUGAAGAAGGCCCGAGGGUUGUAAAGCACUUUCAAUAGAGAGGAAGAUUAAGUAGUUAAUACCUGCUUAGUUUGACGUUACCUAUAGAAGAAGCACCGGCUAACUCUGUGCCAGCAGCCGCGGUAAUACAGAGGGUGCAAGCGUUAUUCGGAAUUACUGGGCGUAAAGCGCGCGUAGGCGGAUGAUUAAGUCAGUUGUGAAAGCCCUGGGCUCAACCUAGGAACUGCAUCUGAUACUGGUCAUCUAGAGUUUAAGAGAGGGAAGUGGAAUUCCAGGUGUAGCAGUGAAAUGCGUAGAUAUCUGGAGGAACAUCAGUGGCGAAGGCGACUUCCUGGCUUAAAACUGACGCUGAGGUGCGAAAGCGUGGGUAGCGAACGGGAUUAGAUACCCCGGUAGUCCACGCCGUAAACGAUGUCAACUAGYUGUUGGUCUUAUUAAAAAGAUUAGUARCGAAGCUAACG
rnacentral:rRNA from 1 species